UGGGGAAGUAUUGCACAAUGGAGGAAACUACUGAUGCAGCGACGCCGCGUGAGCGAUGAAGUAUUUCGGUAUGUAAAGCUCUAUCAGCAGGGAAGAUAAUGACGGUACCUGAGUAAGAAGCUCCGGCUAAAUACGUGCCAGCAGCCGCGGUAAUACGUAUGGAGCAAGCGUUAUCCGGAUUUACUGGGUGUAAAGGGAGUGUAGGCGGCUUUGCAAGUCAGAUGUGAAAGCCCGGGGCUCAACCCCGGGACUGCAUUUGAAACUGUGAAGCUGGAGUGUCGGAGAGGUAAGUGGAAUUCCUAGUGUAGCGGUGAAAUGCGUAGAUAUUAGGAAGAACACCAGUGGCG
rnacentral:rRNA from 1 species